CAUCGCGGGAUGAGAACCCUCGGGAACUGAGGUCAAUCUCGGAUACUGCUUUCACGUUGGAACAACGGAAAGCUGGAAACGGUCCGCCGCCGGAGGACGUGACUGCGGCUGAUUAGGUAGACGGUGGGGUAACGGCCCACCGUGCCAAUAAUCAGUACGGGUUGUGAGAGCAAGAGCCCGGAGACGGAAUCUGAGACAAGAUUCCGGGCCCUACGGGGCGCAGCAGCCGCGAAACCUUUACACUGCACGACAGUGCGAUAAGGGGAUCCCGAGUGCGAGGGCAUACAGUCCUCGCUUUUCGUGACCGUAAGGUGGUCACAGAAUAAGGGCUGGGCAAUACCGGUGCCAGCCUCCUCG
rnacentral:rRNA from 1 species